CACAGGCUGCAGGCCCUGCACACAGGUGCUGACGGCCCUGCUUGAGGGCUCCUCUGCCAUGCUCAGCCCAGCUGCAGAUCUGCAGAUCAGGGAGCCAGUGGAAGAACUGGGAAAAGCUCCAUUGGUUUAACUGAGGAGACUCAGAGGAGCCAGGUCAGGUGAUGGGAGGAGCUCCAAAGGCAGUGAAGUGGCCAUGUCUGGGGCACAACUGCAGGAUUAGCCCUUCCUAGCGUGGUGCAGCUGUGGUACCAUUUGGUAGCAGAGAUUUCCUGGCUCAACCGUGCUGCAGCCUGGUGGAAUUUGUGCCGAGAGUGAUUCUCUUCUACACGACCCAGUGAUUUCAAGGGGAGGUAAAGAGCACUCAGAUGGGUGUGCUGACAUGUGAAGUAACACUCAUUUGUGAGUCUGCAGUGCACUGUUGAUUGUAAGGGUUUGAAUUUUCCUGGGAGGUUGCUGCUUUCAGAAUAGAUCACAAAAGAGAAGCUCUCGUCUUUGAGCUAUUGAUAUUUUCAGCCUUCCUUAAAUAUUUGUUCCCUUUGAUACUGCUGGCAGAUUCUCUUCUGCCUCGGUUUGGAAAGGCCUGAUCCAGUGCUCCUGGUUCAGAAGAGAGAGAAAGGCUUCUCAGGACCACCCUGGGCAUUCACACCUCCAGGUGUUCUGCUCAGGGACUCUGUCAGUUUGUGCUGCUGAGAAAUGAGCAGCCACAUCAAAACCUUCUUGCUCAGUUUGACCAGAAUCUACCUCAGCCCAGACUGUGAGAAAACUCAACUCAAUGGCCUCUGGGGUAUUUACAGCCAGAAAUUUGGUGUAAAAAAGCAUGUCAGGUUGAAUCCAUGCUUGAGAGUGUGAAAAUAAGCAGUCUCUAUUAACAUGACUGUCAUCCAGUGACAAGCCAGUGUUUAGUGUGAACUCCUCACAUAAUAAAAAAUCAUUGGUUGAUCUGAGGGUUUUUUACUUUUACACUAUUGUGACAAGCAUAGUUUUAAAAGCUUGCCCAAAUGGGGGACUUUGGAGUAGUCCCCACUGGGAAUUUGGAUGCUCCCAUGAUAAACACUUAGUGAUCACACCACACCACCUUUAUUGCUGCUGCUGCAUCUGACCUCACUGCAACUACAAAGCAGUUUCACAUUCCCUUUUUUUAUGAAUGCAGAUGCUGCUGAACUUCAUUCCUAUCCUGUAGAGAUCUGGUGAUCAACAGAUUGGGUUUUUUAAUCGGAGUAAAGAGAUAUUCAAAACUGAUUGUAUGAAAGGAAAAAUCCUAGGAUUUGUUGAUGAAAGAGUUCAGCUUUUGGAAUAAAACUCUCAUCAGUCUUAAUUACCUCUGGUGUUGUCUGUAGGAAAACCUUCAUAACAAUUCCAUGUUCUUCAAACUCUUUCUCCUUUUUCACUGAAGAUGAGAGAUGAAUAAAACUAAAAUGGAAUUAUGUCAUCUGUAGCUUCCUUAGAGGAGAAAUAGCACUUUGGAGGAGGUCAGUCUCAGUUGGACAUGAGGUCAGUCUUAUAAUAUAAGAGGAGGUUUGGAAGACUCAAAUGAGCUCAGCUCUGGAUUGAGUACAACUGAUGAAGCAAAAACUUUGGUCUUAGAAAGAUGGUGUGUUUGCACGUAAAACCAUU